GCCGAGGUGGCGGAAUUAGGUAGACGCGUCGGACUUAGGAUCCGAUGGGGUUUUCCCCCGUGCGGGUUCAAGUCCCGCCCUCGGCA
rnacentral:tRNA from 1 species